CCUACGGGGAGCAGCAGUGAGGAAUAUUGGUCAAUGGCUGGGAGGCUGAACCAGCCAAGUCGCGUGAGGGAAGACGGCCCUACGGGUUGUAAACCUCUUUUGUCAGGGAGCAAGGUGCAGGUCGGGACCUGCUGUGAGAGUACCUGAAGAAAAAGCAUCGGCUAACUCCGUGCCAGCAGCCGCGGUAAUACGGAGGAUGCGAGCGUUAUCCGGAUUUAUUGGGUUUAAAGGGUGCGCAGGCGGAGGCACAAGUCAGUGGUAAAAUCGCGGGGCUCAACCCCGCUCCGCCGUUGAAACUGUGUGCCUUGAGUGCGCGAAGGGUAGGCGGAAUGCGUGGUGUAGCGGUGAAAUGCAUAGAUAUCACGCAGAACUCCGAUCGCGAAGGCAGCCUACCGGCGCGCAACUGACGCUCAUGCACGAAAGCGUGGGUAUCGAACAGGAUUAGAUACCCUUGUAGUC
rnacentral:rRNA from 1 species